UAAACUAGGAUUAGAUACCCUAUUAUUAUAUAUGUUAAUUUAAACUGGGGUAUUAAUAGUUAUGUUCUUUAAAUCUAAAGAACUUGGCGGUGUUUUAGUCUGUUUAGAGGAAUUUGUGCCGUUAUCGAUAACCCUCGUUUUAUCUUGCUUUAUUUUGUUGUCAGUAUGUAUAUCGCCGUUAUAAGUUUAUUUUAUUAAAAAUUUAAAUUUACUUUAUUUUUUAUUUGAAGUUAUU
rnacentral:rRNA from 1 species